GGCCUACCAUGGUGGUAACGGGUAACGGGGUGUUAGGGCACGACACCGGAGAGGGAGCCUGAGAAACGGCUACCACAUCCAAGGAUGGCAGCAGGCGCGCAAAUUACCCAAUCCCGACACGGGGAGGUAGUGACAAUAAAUAACAAUACGGGGUUCUUUUGGAUUUCGUAAUUGGAAUGAGUACAAUUUAAAUCUCUUAACGAGGAACAAUUGGAGGGCAAGUCUGGUGCCAGCAGCCGCGGUAAUUCCAGCUCCAAUAGCGUAUAUUAAAGUUGUUGCAGUUAAAAAGCUCGUAGUUGAAUUUCGGGGUUAGUAGGCUGGUCAUGCCACAGGUAUGCACUGGUCUUACUGAUUCCUCCUUCCUGAUGAACCGUAAUGCCAUUAAUUUGGUGUUGCGGGGAGUCUGGACUGUUACUUUGAAAAAAUUAGAGUGUUUAAAGCAGGCUAACGCUUGAAUACAUUAGCAUGGAAUAACGAAAUAGGACGUUCGAUCUUAUUUUGUUGGUUUCUAGGAUUGACGUAAUGAUUAAUAGGGAUAGUUGGGGGCAUUAGUAUUCAAUUGUCAGAGGUGAAAUUCUUGGAUUUAUUGAAGACUAACUACUGCGAAAGCAUUUGCCAAGGAUGUUUUCAUUAAUCAAGAACGAAAGUUAGGGGAUCGAAGACGAUCAGAUACCGUCGUAGUCUUAACCAUAAACUAUGCCGACUAGGGAUCGGAUGAUGUUAAUUUUAUAAUGACUCAUUCGGCGCCUUACG
rnacentral:rRNA from 1 species